CAGCCGCCGCGGGAAUACGGAGGGUGCAAGCGUUAUCCGGAUUUAUUGGGUUUAAAGGGUCCGUAGGCGGAUCUGUAAGUCAGUGGUGAAAUCUCACAGCUUAACUGUGAAACUGCCAUUGAUACUGCAGGUCUUGAGUAAAUUUGAAGUGGCUGGAAUAAGUAGUGUAGCGGUGAAAUGCAUAGAUAUUACUUAGAACACCAAGUGCGAAGGCAGGUCACUAAGAUUUAACUGACGCUGAUGGACGAAAGCGUGGGGAGCGAACAGGAUUAGAUACCCCAGUAGUCCCUGUCUCUUAUAA
rnacentral:rRNA from 1 species